UAUUAUGGUAAUGACAUAAGGCAAGGCUGAG
rnacentral:piRNA from 1 species